rnacentral:rRNA from 1 species
GACGAACGCUGGCGGCGCGCCUAACACAUGCAAGUCGAACGAGCGAGAGAGAGCUUGCUUUCUCGAGCGAGUGGCGAACGGGUGAGUAACGCGUGAGGAACCUGCCUCAAAGAGGGGGACAACAGUUGGAAACGACUGCUAAUACCGCAUAAGCCCACGGCUCGGCAUCGAGCAGAGGGAAAAGGAGCAAUCCGCUUUGAGAUGGCCUCGCGUCCGAUUAGCUAGUUGGUGAGGUAAUGGCCCACCAAGGCAACGAUCGGUAGCCGGACUGAGAGGUUGAACGGCCACAUUGGGACUGAGACACGGCCCAGACUCCUACGGGAGGCAGCAGUGGGGAAUAUUGCACAAUGGGGGAAACCCUGAUGCAGCGACGCCGCGUGGAGGAAGAAGGUCUUCGGAUUGUAAACUCCUGUUGUUGAGGAAGAUAAUGACG